GAAACCACAAUGCGAGCAGCCAAUGGGAUGCUAGGAGUGUUUCAUAUCUGUCAAAUCUAGAGAUCACAUGCGGAUGCUGCAGGUUUCAGCAGAGGAUGAGCAGAGGGAGGACUAAGGUCUCAUUGAAAUGGCUCAUCAAAACGAUGGACCCUCUAACAGUGUGGCACUCCCUCAGCACUGCACUAACACUAUCAUCUAGAAUCUGGAUUCAAGCAUCUGGAACCCAGAACAUCCUGACUCUGAGAUACUGCCACACCAAUUGACUAUUGCCAGCAUCUACAAUGUUUUCUAUUCAAUUUGGAGAUGAACGCUGACUUCAUUAAUGGCGAUCACGCCAAAUAUAUAUCAGUACAAAAUAA